GGAGUUAGCCGGUGCUUCUUCUGUGAGUGAUGUCCUUCCUGCCGGCUAUUAACCCGCAGGCCUUCUUCCUCACUGAAAGUGCUUUACAACCCGAAGGCCUUCUUCACACACGCGGCAUGGCUGGAUCAGGGUUGCCCCCAUUGUCCAAUAUUCCCCACUGCUGCCUCCCGUAGGAGUCUGGGCCGUGUCUCAGUCCCAGUGUGGCUGAUCAUCCUCUCAGACCAGCUACGGAUCGUCGCCUUGGUGAGCCGUUACCUCACCAACCAGCUAAUCCGACAUAGGCUCAUCCGAUAGCGCGAGGCCCGAAGGUCCCCCGCUUUCCCCCGUAGGGCGUAUGCGGUAUUAGCCUGGGUUUACCCCAGGUUAUCCCCCACUACCGGGCAGAUUCCUAUGCAUUACUCACCCGUCCGCCGCUCGCCACCAGGGAGCAAGCUCCCCGUGCUGCCGCUCGACUUGCAUGUGUUAGGCCUGCCGCCAGCGUUCAAUCUGAGCCAGAAUCAAAACUCUGA
rnacentral:rRNA from 1 species